GUGCCUUUAGCUCAAAGGUGGAGCGCCUGAUUGUGGAUCAGGAGGUUGUGGGUUCGACCCCCAUAAGGCACC
rnacentral:tRNA from 1 species